ACGUCAAAUCAUCAUGCCUCUUACGUCCAGGGCUACAGGCGUGCUACAAUGGCCGGUAUAAUAAGAUGCAAUGUCGUGAGGCGGAGCAAAUCUCCAAAACCGGUCCCAGUUCAGAUUGAAGUCUGCAACUCGACUUCAUGAAGUUGGAAUCGCUAGUAAUCCCAGAUCAGAAUGCUGGGGUGAAUACGUUCCCGGGUGUU
rnacentral:rRNA from 1 species